AGAGUUUGAUCCUGGCUCAGAUUGAACGCUGGCGGCAGGCUUAACACAUGCAAGUCGAGCGGUAACAGGGGAAGCUUGCUUCCCGCUGACGAGCGGCGGACGGGUGAGUAAUGCUUAGGAAUCUGCCCAGUAGUGGGGGAUAGCCCGGGGAAACCCGGAUUAAUACCGCAUACGUCCUACGGGAGAAAGCAGGGGAUCUUCGGACCUUGCGCUAUUGGAUGAGCCUAAGUCGGAUUAGCUAGUUGGUGGGGUAAAGGCCUACCAAGGCGACGAUCCGUAGCUGGUCUGAGAGGAUGAUCAGCCACAUCGGGACUGAGACACGGCCCGAACUCCUACGGGAGGCAGCAGUGGGGAAUAUUGGACAAUGGGGGCAACCCUGAUCCAGCCAUGCCGCGUGUGUGAAGAAGGCUUUCGGGUUGUAAAGCACUUUCAGUAGGGAGGAAAACCUUAUGGCUAAUACCCAUGAGGCUUGACGUUACCUACAGAAGAAGCACCGGCUAACUCCGUGCCAGCAGCCGCGGUAAUACGGAGGGUGCAAGCGUUAAUCGGAAUUACUGGGCGUAAAGCGCGCGUAGGUGGUUUGGUAAGCGAGAUGUGAAAGCCCCGGGCUUAACCUGGGAACGGCAUUUCGAACUGUCAGACUAGAGUGUGGUAGAGGGGUAGUGGGAAUUUCCUGUGUAGCGGUGAAAUGCGUAGAUAUAGGAAAGGAACACCAGUGGCGAAGGCGGCUACCUGGACCAACACUGACACUGAAGGUGCGAAAGCGUGGGGAAGCAAACAGGAUUAGAUACCCUGGUAGUCACGCCGUAAACGAAGUCAACCUAGCCGUUGUGAACUCUUGAAGUCUUAGUGGCGCAGCUAACGCACUAAGUUGACCGCCUGGGGAGUACGGCCGCAAGGUUAAAACUCAAAUGAAUUGACGGGGGCCCGCACAAGCGGUGGAGCAUGUGGUUUAAUUCGACGCAACGCGAAGAACCUUACCUGGCCUUGACAUCCAGAGAACUUUCCAGAGAUGGAUUGGUGCCUUCGGGAACUCUGAGACAGGUGCUGCAUGGCCGUCGUCAGCUCGUGUCGUGAGAUGUUGGGUUAAGUCCCGUAACGAGCGCAACCCCUAUCCCUGGUUGCUAGCAGGUAAUGCUGAGAACUCCAGGGAGACUGCCGGUGACAAACCGGAGGAAGGUGGGGAUGACGUCAGGUCAUCAUGGCCCUUACGGCCAGGGCUACACACGUGCUACAAUGGCGCGUACAGAGGGCUGCCAACUCGCGAGAGUGAGCCAAUCCCUUAAAACGCGUCGUAGUCCGGAUCGGAGUCUGCAACUCGACUCCGUGAAGUCGGAAUCGCUAGUAAUCGCGAAUCAGAAUGUCGCGGUGAAUACGUUCCCGGGCCUUGUACACACCGCCCGUCACACCAUGGGAGUGGAUUGCACCAGAAGUAGUUAGUCUAACCUUCGGGAGGACGAUUACCACGGUGUGGUUCAUGACUGGGGUGAAGUCGUAACAAGGUAGCCGUAGGGGAACCUGUGGCUGGAUCACCUCCUU
rnacentral:rRNA from 2 species